CAGAAACCCUUCUUUCACUGUUUCUUUGCUAUUUGCACACACUCUGUGAAUUGUUCCCAAGUUAGGUUUUGAACCUCAUUUGAUUGCUGGAUUUGGACACAGACUCAUAUUGUGGAGUUUGGGAAUAAGCAGUUUGUGUUGUGUUUCUGUGCUGAAGGUACUAGUGCUGUUUCCAUAGCUGUUAGUGGAAGGGAGAUGAGACAGACAGCACCAUGCACCAAGUUCCCUUGGAAUUUUAGUUAUUAGUUACCAAAUUGUUCUGUUAAUUCAAGAGGAGCUGCAAAUUAUGAUGCUGUGAUUUAUCUUUUUUUUUUUUUUCCCCUCCCAUUUUCAACAGUCGAUGCCCUCUGCAUUCAUUGCUUAAAAUGUAAAUGAUGCUGGAAUUCUGAAUUAAAGCUUAUGAGACCUUUCAGAUGUUCUGUAUGCCUCUUGAAAUGCCUCACACACCACUGGCUGCAGUGUUCCCCUGGAAGUUGUAAUCAGCUGCAAAAGGAUGGUAAUAUUUUGAGAUUUCCAGAUGGUUCCAGAGAAAACAAGGAUGUAAACAGAGACAAUUAGUAUGGAAUAUUCUCACAAUGGAGAGAGAAGUUCACCAAAGCAGAGAUGUCUCAGGUGAGAUGGAAGGCCUGUCUCACAGUCAGCUCUCAUGGCUCCCAGUCUCUCGUGCUGUAGGUUAAAUCAAACAUCUUCUCCCAGGUCACCUCAUCAGGUGGCUUAAGGCAGAAAGAGAAAUGAUCAAGACCCAUUUAAUUUUUGCUAAGUUCAAGAUGGAGAACUGUAGGAAAUGUUUCUGCUGUUUGGAGCUUAAUGAGUACAUUUAACACAGAAAGGUUGAAUAUUUAGAAACAUUCUCUUCUUCAUGAAGCGGAGAAGCACAGUCUGCAAGAAACUGGGAAGUAACCUUGGCCAUAAGGGGCUCCUAAGAUGCUGCAAGCCCUCAUGCAGCAUUCAAGGCAAACGCUAAUUGCAAAAGAACAAGAAGAUUAAGAUGUAGUCGCAAGUUGCCAGCUGAAUAGGAAAAACCUUACCCUUAUUUAUGAACAGUGUUUGUCUUGUGUGUGGAGUGAUGAUGAAAGAUGGAAGAAAAGUUUUUAAACUGCAGAGGAAGGAAAAGAAGUUGAUUUGUUUUUUAAAUAUUGCCAUCACAAAUUAAGACUUUAUUAUUCUUAUUUUAUUUAUUUAUUUAUUGUUUCUGGAGGCCUUACUGUUAUGAAACUGAGAAGCACGCAGUUUGUCUUCAGCAUUGUGGUAACUCCACGAAGUGUUCAGAGGCAGGGGAAGAAGAAACUGUGGCUAUGCUAUUGCCCUUAGAUCUGUUAUUGGUAUUAAAGCAACACAAAAAGAAUACGGCCCGUUUGAUUCUUAGCACUGCAUUCUUUGAUGAAGAGAAAUAGUGCUCAGGGCAAAGAUGAAUAUCAAUUAAGUUAUGUUGCUUUGGUUACUAGUAACGAUGUCAGAAAAUCUCAGGACUGCAGCAUUUAAGAUGAGCGUUAACUUUUUAGCUUACCUCAACACAUCCCAGCGAGAAAUGUUCACUUCAUAGUACUUUGGAAACGACAUGGGUUGGAGUUUAGAAAACAAGAUUACAGCCGGGUCUUUCAAUGGGACUCUUGUAAGGCUGUCCACAAGGCAAAUACUGGAAUAGGCUCCUCAGAGAGGUGGCUGAAUCGCCAUCCCUGGAUGUGUUUAAGAGCCGUUUGGAUGUGGUGCUCAGGGAUAUGAUUUAGUGUAGGGUUGUUAGAGUUAGGGUACUGGUUAGGCUGCGGUUUGACUUGAUGAUCUUCAAGGUCUUUUCCAACCUGGGUAAUUCUAUGAUUCUGUGAUUCAUUUCAGCAGGCUCCUACGGGCUCUGAAGCAGAACCCAUGUUCAGUGGUCUGUGGUUGCUAGCUUGAUCAUUUGUUUCUAGGUUGUUCUGCCAGGAUAAAUCAGUGAACAGUAUCUUUUACUCUGCUACUACGUCUCUUUGCAGCCCCCCAAGGUCUGCUUUAUUUGUAGUUUUUCAAGCAAUGCUUGACUAAAGGACAUGGGUGACACUGUCAUGAUUCCUUGGUGUAAGCAUCCCUAGUGUUGUAGAGUUAAGGUAGUAUUGUCAGGUUGUGGUUGGGCGUGAUGAUCUUUAAGGUCUUUUCCAACCUGAGCAAUUCUGUGAUUCUCUGAAGAUGCUGAAAAGAAUAUUCCAUCUAAAAACUGUGAGUUUGGAUCAAAAGUAAUCUGCACUCAAGUCUGCUGAUGUCAUCCAUUUUUAGCCAGACUCCCUUAAGGGCUUUCCUGUGAGGUUCAGUUUAUUGUAUUGUUUUUCCCCGGUUGGUGCUGUCUAGUGCAGCAGGAACUGAAGCCAUUGGAAGUUUGAUCAUUGACUUUCAUGAAGGGAGCCUCAGGAUCUGAGUGUUUGAGCUGGGGAGGGUACUUAGCAGUACUCAAGCAAUGAUCUGACCGAGUCAACGGGAGUUUUGCCACCUUCUGAAUAUGCAGGACGGCACUCUGCCUUUACACUGCCCACCCUCGUGUUACAGGGUGACAGCAAAACAAAUUGAAACCAAUGUGUUGUGCUCCCUUCAACCUGCUUGGAAAGAAAAUGCUAUUCAGAAUUAGAACUUUGGGGGAAAAAUCAGCUCUUAAAUAUUGAAAAACCCUCUAAAAAACAGAGAAUCUGAAACACAGUUAUUCCAGAGGUUCAACACUCUGUGAAAGAUAUGAAAUACGACAGCUCCCAGCGGUACUCCUGCUCCACCACGGGCAGCCAGGGGCGGGCUCUGGGCUGGGCAGCCAGGCUCUCCUAGAGCCGAGGGUUGCUCUCGCCCUGCGAGAAGAAAGGUACAGCUAUAACAGCUAUUAAGGGGCGAUCUUUACAGCUGUUCGGCUGGAGGAAGUUUCUUGGCUGUAAACUGUCAUGCACCGCAGCUCGCGGUAAAAAGGCUGUGGGAGCGGGGAGUUUUCUGUCCUGAGAGCAACCAGAGUGCAAUUAAGAGCAGAAAGGAGGAGAAGGAAAUAAAAUAACAGCAUCGGGAAUGCA
rnacentral:lncRNA from 1 species